CCCACCCAUUCCCCCUAGCACCUACUCCGCCCCCAAUACGUGAAUCCAUAUAUCACUAUUCCCUGAACGCUGAACCCAAAUCAAACUCACCCUACCAAAACCCUAAGUUCUCCCUGCAACGGUUCUGCCGCGGUGCCGCCGCCGUCCGUGCUGUCGACGCCUCUGCUUCCCCUCUUGUAGUUCGGCGUCCUCUUUCCCCUGUCCCCGUCCUCCCCGGAUUCUCUCGAACUUGGAGCAGCUUGCGGCUGUGUCGCCACUCGCUGUCGUCGCGCCGGGCGCCGUCCAUGUCGCCGUCGAAGGCGAACUUCUGUUAGGUAAACCACCCGUAACAUGAGGUUACUAAUCUUUCUCUUCUUCCGCCAUCAAAAUUUGAUGGCUAUUACUAAAAGGUAUUUUUUUUUCUUUUCAUUGUUUAGUUUUCUUAUUAUAUUUUGUUUUGAGGCAUUCAGGUUCAAAAGUCAGUAAGUAGCAAGAAUUUUGUGAUCACAUAUCUUCUAGAGCUUCCAGAGCCGUUUAGUGUCAUUUUCACAUGGUUUGCCGCUGUUCCCCUCCUUGUGUGAUUGGCUCGGUCACUUACAAGUGCUAUUAUAAAGGAUUCCUUGAUUCUAGAGGGUCCCUGUCCUAACUGUGGUACUGAAAAUCCACAUACUUCAUUCUUGCGUACUAUACUUUCUAUUUCAAGUGGGGAUUCCACCAAUAAAGUCAAAUGUGAAAAGCAACUGUGGUACCGCAUUGGUGUAUGAUUCAACUACAAGAUUGAUUACAAUACCAGAAUGAAGCAGUUCCUAAGUGGAGUACGUGAAGAUAUAUAUAAGACACACAAAUGGGUAGUGACUAAUUUUAUCAGUGGCAAGCCAUGAUUCUGCCUGAUAGAUACAUUGAGGAUAGAACUCAGUAGGAUCAAACUCAAGCAGCGGGGUUGAGUUCAAACCUUUUCGCAGCUACUGCUUUGUCAUUAACCAACAUUUUUUUUGUGUGUAUUUUAUUAUUUUGGUCCCACCAACAUUUUUUAACUAAAAUAUCACCUUAUAUUAGCCAAAUUAUAUCACAUUACUUUCACAUAUAUUAUUCUACUUUUAUCAUUGAAUCCGCCAAUAAUA